rnacentral:rRNA from 1 species
UACGUAGGGGGCAAGCGUUGUCCGGAUUUAUUGGGCGUAAAGAGCGUGUAGGCGGCCUGGCAAGUCCGCUGUGAAAACUCAAGGCUUAACCUCGAGACGUCGGUGGAAACUGCCUGGCUAGAGUCCGGAAGAGGAGAGUGGAAUUCCUGGUGUAGCGGUGAAAUGCGCAGAUAUCAGGAAGAACACCCGUGGCUAAGGCGGCUCUCUAGUACGGUACUGACGCUGAGACGCGAAAGCGUGGGGAGCGAACAGG